rnacentral:rRNA from 1 species
UACGGGGGGAGCAAGCGUUGUUCGGAUUUACUGGGCGUAAAGGGCGCGUAGGUGGCGGGACAAGCGUGCGGUGAAAGCUCGGGGCUCAACCCCGGAGUCGGCCCGUGCGAACUGUUUUGCUUGAGCACUGUAGAGGCAGGCGGAAUUCCGGGUGUAGCGGUGGAAUGCGUAGAGAUCCGGAAGAACACCAGUGGCGAAGGCGGCUGACUGGACAUGUAUUGACGCUGAGGUGCGAAAGCGUGGGGAGCAAACAGG